UCCAGACUCCUACGGGAGGCAGCAGUGGGGAAUAUUGCGCAAUGGGGGCAACCCUGACGCAGCAACGCCGCGUGCAGGAAGAAGGUCUUCGGAUUGUAAACUGUUGUCGCAAGGGAAGAAGACAGUGACGGUACCUUGUGAGAAAGUCACGGCUAACUACGUGCCAGCAGCCGCGGUAAUACGUAGGUGACAAGCGUUGUCCGGAUUUACUGGGUGUAAAGGGAGCGCAGGCGGCCUUGCAAGUCUGAUGUGAAAGGCCGGGGCCCAACCCCGGGACUGCAUUGGAAACUGCGAGGCUGGAGUGUCGGAGAGGCAGGCGGAAUUCCUAGUGUAGCGGUGAAAUGCGUAGAUAUUAGGAGGAACACCAGUGGCGAAGGCGGCUUACUGGACAGUAACUGACGUUGAGGCUCGAAAGCGUGGGGAGCAAACAGGAUUAGAUACCCUGGUAGC
rnacentral:rRNA from 1 species